GGCGGAGAAGAGUCUGGGCCAGGGUUUGGCGGCGGCGGAUGUGUUCUGCAGAUCGAUGAUUUCAUUCUAGUUUCCUCGGUCCUUUCCAGUUCUUCGAUUCUCUUUUUGUUGUUUGAGGCGUGGUGAUGGCUCCUAAACGACGACGUGCCUUGGGAGAGUCUAGUUCCCGUGGUUCUCCGGAUUUAGCAUCUGCUACUCGCACAGUGAAGAGGCGUCGUUCUUGUCGAGUGGCUGCCGAGAGAUCGAGGAAAGUGGACUUGAUUGAUGAGUCUGAUGAGGAUGGGGAUGGGAAGCAUAUUAAGUCAAGAUGGUCUACUGCUCGUGUCGCUAGAUUAUCAAAAAUCUGAUUCCUGUUCAGAAGGGUUUCAUUGAGAAACAUGUAUUUGGAUUUCUGUUUGGUAUCAAGAGUUUCAGAGUCCCAGUUCAAUUUAUUGAGUGGGUUAUGUCUAAUACUUAUGCUACUUCAUAUGAGUUCAUGCUGAAAAACAAGACAAUUAGAUUUACUAAGGAAAUGGUUGUCAAAGUUCUUGGUAUUCCAUAUGGAACUAUGCAAGUAGAAGUUGAUAGUUCUGAUUUUGAGGUAGAGGCACUUGUCGAACAGUUCAAAUCUGAAUAGAAGGAUGGCAAAUCAUAUCCAAUAAGCAAGUGCAUUCAAUUGAUGAGUCAGGAAGAAGAUGAAACAACAUUUAUGAGGCGCUUUAUGCUUUUCUUGAUAUCCACCAUUCUUAUGCCUAGCAAAUCUAAUACCUUAUGUGUUGAGUAUUUGUACUCCUUGGUUGAUCUUGAGCUGUUACCAAAACUGGACUGGGCUGAUGAAAUCUUGCAUGUCAUUAUGCAUGAAGUACACCGCUUUCACCAGUUGAGGGAUAGUCUUGGAAAUGCUGUUGCUUUGAAACACUUUUAUAUGGAGGGAUGUUUACCAUUGCUGGCUGUAA